GUAGGGCCCAAGCCAGCCAGGAAGGAGGAGGUAGCCAGAGAGGCCUCCACUGUUCUCUGCAGCAGAAGACCCCUUGCUGCCAGGAAACAACCUGUGUAAUUUGAAGAAGUGGCCAUACUCACCUUAUACUGAAUCAGACCCAUGGUCCAUCUGACACAGUUCUGUCAGCCUUGCAGAAUCACAUCCAGUUCUCUUUCCCACCCCAAAUGUCUGAGUUCAUUAAAUAUGGGAGAUGCCAGGUAUAAAGCCUCAGGUCUUGGAGACUUCUUGACUCUCAGCCUACUUCCCUGGAUGCCCAGGAGCACCCUUAUGAUUUCAUAAAACCCGAUUAUCGUGACCAAUGCUUAGUCCCUGUUAUGAAGAGGAGUUGUGGAUCAUAUAACAAUUUCUGCAUGAGAUGUCUGUGAAAGUUUAUAGGGAAACCAUUUGUGCCCUGUGCAAACUAGACUCUGUUCUUCCUGAUGGAAUUAAUUACCUUAAUUUUCAGACUCAUAUGUAGUUACCAAACAAAACACUCCACUGCAGCUUUGUUGCUAGGGACAACAACUGUACAAUGCCGUGCGCCAAGAACACAGGAACAGCAUCCAGCCUCACUGGGGUAUCAAAAAGAACCAUGUUAUUAUGACAGCUGAUAAAAGCCGUGUAAAGCUACACUCAGCACACUUGAAGGUCUCUUGUGAUUGAAAAGCAGGCGAACUAUACAAUCCUGCUAGGCUGGAGAGCAUGAUGAAAGGAUAGUCAGCUGGGUAUUCUUUGGAUUCAAAAGAGCCAAGUCUGCAAUAUGGGAGCUGCUGGUAUUUUGUUAGUUUGAACUCAGUGCUGACGAAAAGGCUGUGGGGAUGCGUAUUUGCAAACGUCUUUCUUUAACUGUGUAGAGUUGCCAUGGAAAUCUGUGACAUGCAGAUCUGGUAGUUGUCAGUCUUUUAAUGCAUGCACCACGGCAGAGACUGCAGUGCUAAAGCAAUUCUUACCGCUUCAGAAUUGGGUGGGAGACACUUUCAGCCAUGUGGAUGCGGGACUUGGAGCUUGUUCUCACAUGGUGCAAAGCAGAACUAGAACAAUGCGUGUGAAGGCUGAAUUGCACCCCAUGCCAGUCAAAUAGACACUAUUGGUCAGAUUAACCUGCUAUUUUUUAUAUUUCCACCCUUGAAAACACUUGUCAUGUGCCAAUAGAAAUAGGCUUACUUUUGGUUAGCAUCAGAAACCAAAAUUCAUUUGAUAUCCAGUGAGUGAGUUCUGAAAAUCUGGAUAUAGAGAUGUGAAUUCCCAUCUUCAGUUUUGAAAUCUGAAAAUCUGAGUAAGGAUGGUAACAACAUGGUAUGUGUAAAUUUUGUAAUUCUUUUUUGAGAUGUUUCUUUAGAAAAUGUAGCUGCUGAGGCUGCAGUUUGAAGAGGAAGGGGGAGUGCUUCAGAGGAAGGCAGAGAGUGGCUUCUUAACCAUUUCCCUUGGAGCUGUUUUCCCACUGAAACUAGUCUUCUUUCAGCUGCUGCUUGUAUCCUUGUCUAACCCCUUUUACUCAGGAAAUUGGGUUUUUGGGUUCAAGUCUCUCUCUAUAUAUCUCUGUAUAUUUUGUGACAGUGUAUUUCCCAGUGGUUGCAAGAAAGAGAACAAAAAAAUAAAUAAAUCAUUUCUUAUGCCAAACUUAA